CACUGGGGAAGGAUCUUUGGUUGGAGAUCCCUCCCCUCUGGAGUUUUUUCUGCAAGCCUCGAUGUUUGGAAACAGGAGUGCUACAAAUCCCAUUUGGUAAUGUACAUUUGGAUGUCUUCAUAUGGAAGUUUCUACAGGAAUCACAAGGGGUUGUAAGAAAUCUUUCAAAAAGGGUUGAUUUCAGUAUUUUGUGAUUACAAAUAACCAAGUGAAGCAUAGCAAGUUCCAUGUGCAACACUGGUUGUCUCUCAAAGGGCUCCAAUCCAUAAGGAUAAAUUGAGGCAUGAUGAGAAUUCAUGAGCUCACAGUACGAACAAGUAUCACAUUGAGGAGAGAUAUAUACCUGCUCUGUGAUGAUUGCUUGUUGCAAUGAGAAUGCACAGAAAGCAAUAUACAACCUAAAUGAUUAAAGGCAAGAAGCAGAAGUCCACCAUAAAAGCAGCAGCCCAGAAUGCGUGUCAAGAGUGAAUUAUGAAAAUAGCCUUGUACGUCCAUGGCAAUUUCACAGAGCCAUUCUGAUAACGAUGAACACGACAGCAUGCAAUAGGAAUAACAAUGCCUGGAAUUAUUUCAAACGAUAUAUUUUUUAAGGACCGUCACUUUAGGUCUCUCUUUGCAUCUGUGCAUGGUAGCUGAAUUAAUGAUAAAUAUGACUCAAGCAACAAAAGAGUCGGCAUUAAACUCUAUUAUUAGUCCUCCUACCUCCCUGGAAAUAGCAUGAAGAUAUUCCUUACAAAUGAACAGCAGAUGAUCUUGUACCCAGUGAACCAUAGUUUGCACAGAGAAACCAAGAGGCUGAGGAAGAAGAAAAAGCCUCCCGGGUCACUUGGUGCCUUCCUGCAAGAUCUCCUGUCUCCAUGGGAGAGUUCCAGCCUGCAGGCAGCAGCUCAAUUCAGCCAAGAAGCGUUUCCACAGAUGAAAGGGUUGCGAUCAGGAAAAGUCAUCCAUGAUAGGAGUGAGCCAAAGUAAGAAAGGUUUCAGCUGGAGUCUUCCAGUCUGCAUUCCAUAGAGUUUUGAAGCCUUUGGCUCCCCUUGCUGCAGAGUGCUGUGCCACAGUUCUCCUCCACGCUUGCAUUUUUGCUCAUCUCCAUGCACGGCAUCUGUUGUGGAAAACAGGAUUUCCAUCAAACUGCCUCCCUCUCAGCUCUCCCCUCUCGCCCCCCCAGGCCAUUUGCCUCCCUAAAUCCUGCUGGGCUGCCCAGUGUCUGCCUGUCCUGUCCACUCUUGGAACAGCCGCACCAGAAGGGAAUUACUUCUCAUCCAAAACUGCUGGAAGACCUGCAAGGAAAGCAGUGUGAUUACAGAUCUUCUUCUCCCACCACUAAGCAAUGGGCUGGAAUUUAUUAAGCUUCAAUACCUGUCGCUCAUCCCAUGUCAAGGGUCUGCCAAGCAGAGCUGAAAGUCUCUAUUAACAAAUGUCUGUGUGAGGAGACCCUCAUGCAAGUUAAACACGUUCCUUUUUAUGCUAAGCUGUGCAAGGAAACCUGAUGUGUGCCUGUCUGUGUGGCUUUCUGGCCACGACAGGGAGAGAACUCCCAGCAUUCCUGAUUUCUCUCUCCACCAUAAGAGCCCACAGAUGGCCAGAAGUUCCUCUGCUCAUUAGCUAAUGACCCUUGGUAGCGCUGGUCUGGGCUGCAGAGCUGGGUGCCCUGCACACUCCUUGCUGUGAGGGCCAGCAGCUCCCUGCUGUGGGGACAUGCUGUCAGACAGCACUGGUUUUGCUGAGCAGCUCAGCUUGCAGCACACUGCGAUGAUUCCCUGUGGGUACAGUGAGGGAAGCACAAAUUUGGUAGGGGCUGCAUACUGCCUGAUACUGGAUCAGACCAGCCAGUGAAAAUAGAGUUGCUGUCUCAGACGUGCUUCAUUGGUAUUCUGGUGGCAGCCAGGCUAGAGACUGCACAAAAUUAUUUUCAAACAAGAAUUACAAUUGGAAAGGCAAAAAGAAAGAGAGAGAGGGAGAAUUCUGGGGGCAUUUGUCAGCUGAAAGCCUCAAGGUUGUAUUCAAGCUGCCUAGCUGAUGACAGAAUAAAGACAGGAAAACCUGAAACAAAUGGUGCUUCGAGGAUCAAAAAGAUGAGAUUCUGCCACAGAUACUUAGCGUUAAAAAGCUUUUCAUUGUGGAAAGGGGGAGUGGGACCAAGCUGAACCCAAGAUGAAUGGAAAUACACCACUCUCUUCUGCUGAAAGCAGGCUGGCAAGGCACUGCUUGGAUGGGGUAAACCCUGCAUGUCCUUCUAAGUGUGAUUUAUGCAACAAAGCAGCCAUCCUUACAUGCUGUAGCACUGUUCCCCUUCAUAUCUGCUAUUGGGCUGAUAGACACGAUGCUUAAUUCUGCCAAAUUUGUCAGUCUUGACCUGCGAGUCUGAUCUUUGGGAAAUUCUAUUCAUUGCUGAAUAAAUAAUGCAUGGGCAGCCAUGCAUAUUUCAUACUAA